CCGCUUUCUGGCUGACCUGCACCUAGAUCCAUGCCCCGGAGCCACUCUGCGCUCCCCAGAAGAACCGCUGGUGUCUGAUGCAGCAACGUAACCCCUGGGGACACCAAACUCAGUCCUCGAUGUGACCUGACAAUGCCAGUGUAGCGGAGAUCCAGUAUUCCACAAGUUAUCUCCGCUUAAGAUCCCAGUGAGGCUCAGGAACAAGUAGU